rnacentral:lncRNA from 1 species
CCACUGACAUCUGCUCCUGACAGCCAGCCAUGGACAUCAUAAUGGCUGGAUGAUCAAGGGUUACUUGAAGCAGAUAGUCCUCUUUCUGACACAUUGUCAGUGGCAGUCUAAUGCUAUGUCACAAUGCCUACAUCAUUCACCCCACUUCAUCUCAUGACGGAGGCAUUUUACCAUCUCACAUCAUCACACAAAUGCUCUAACAGGAACUAUGCUCUGAACCCUCACCAUUGUGUUUGAUCUCUUCGGAACUAAAACCACAAGAGCUUAUAGAGAGAACAUCCCCUGUCCCCUUGAAAACCAGUGACUGAAGCCCAUCACUCAAGGACCUUUGCUGGGACUCUUCCGUGUGGGGAGCAUGGGGCUGGAGGAGGAAGAGCCAUCAAGGGAAUGUUUCCUGAUCAAUUGGUGUCAGUGCCUUCUGCCAAUGGCUUUGAGAAGAGGGCAAAAGGCCAGGGAAGAGGAGAAAAAGGUGUUUGCUGGAAGAUAGAAGAAAGAUAAGUCUAACACUCAGAACUGGCACAGAAUGGACAGCAAAAACUAG